rnacentral:rRNA from 1 species
GACGAACGCUGGCGGCGUGCUUAACACAUGCAAGUCGAACGGAAAGGCCCUGCUUUUGUGGGGUGCUCGAGUGGCGAACGGGUGAGUAACACGUGAGUAACCUGCCCUUGACUUUGGGAUAACUUCAGGAAACUGGGGCUAAUACCGGAUAGGAGCUGCUGCUGCAUGGUGGGGUUGGAAAGUUUCGGCGGUUGGGGAUGGACUCGCGGCUUAUCAGCUUGUUGGUGGGGUAGUGGCUUACCAAGGCUUUGACGGGUAGCCGGCCUGAGAGGGUGACCGGCCACAUUGGGACUGAGAUACGGCCCAGACUCCUACGGGAGGCAGCAGUGGGGAAUAUUGCACAAUGGGCGGAAGCCUGAUGCAGCAACGCCGCGUGCGGGAUGACGGCCUUCGGGUUGUAAACCGCUUUCGCCUGUGACGAAGCGUGAGUGACGGUAAUGGGUAAAGAAGCACCGGCUAACUACGUG